rnacentral:rRNA from 1 species
AACGUAGGAGGCAAGCGUUAUCCGAAUUUACUGGGCGUAAAGCGCGUGCAGGCGGUUCGGUAAGUUGGAUGUGAAAUCUCCUGGCUCAACUGGGAGAGGUCGUUCAAUACUGUCGGACUUGAGGAUGGCAGAGGGAGGUGGAAUUCCCGGUGUAGUGGUGAAAUGCGUAGAUAUCGGGAGGAACACCAGUGGCGAAGGCGGCCUCCUGGACCAUUCCUGACGCUCAGACGCGAAAGCUAGGGGAGCGAACGGGAUUAGAUACCCCCGUAGUCC